GUUCUCAUUUCAAUUAGGGUUCUACUUACCGAUCCACAGCUCUAGUUAGACUAACCAUUACCUCUAGAACUGGCACGUUACAGACAGCAAUCCCUGUAUCUAUUUCUACUUCAGAAAAUGCAAAAUGUCGUUCUUGUGGCUGAGCCUGGGUGACCCUUCAUGAAUGUUGCCAAUGAGUUUCCAUAUGGAAACUGUGAACAUAGUCCUGCUGAACUGUGGACCUCGCUGUGAACAUGAAGCAUCAACUUGGUCAUGUAGAACUUUGUGUGCGAUAACAAGGAAUCUCAUAAUUGCAGUAUACAUGGUUAUUCAUUAAGGACAUUGGCUUGUACUCUGUCUGUCUUUGUGUCUGUGUCUCUGUGUCUGUGUCUCUGUCUCUCUCCCAGAGUGUGUGUGUUGUUGUUGUUGCUGUUGCUGCUGCUGCUUCUGCUGCUGCUGCUCUUGCUAUGGUUUUCACACCAGGGUAAUACUGGCUUUAUAGACCAAGUUUGGAAUGAGCUUUUCUUGUCUCUUUGGAGAAGCAGCUUGAAGAUCAUCAGUCUCCACUCUAAGGCCAGUAGAGCGUCUCGUGGUGAUCCCAUUCCCCACCUGUUACAGUGGUGGACUUGGAGAAGGAAAUCCCAUGCAUGGAUUUCUGCAAUGCAAAUUUACCACCAGCAUCCAGACAAACUGGUUCCAGGCUGUCCAUAUCUACCAUUGUGGAUUCUAUGUGUUGUUUAGGCCAAAAGGCCGAAGAAACCCUGGGACUCAUAGGAGCAAAUAGGCUUCAUGAUGUCCUGACAAAAAAUAAUAUGUUCAACAGGAAAAAAAUUGUUGGGAACAUCCUUGGAGAAAUAAGGCAUGUUCCAAAGAUUUGUUCUGCCAAGAGUCCUGCAGGUCCUGACAACCUCGCUUCUGCCCUUUGGAGGAGAGAGAGUGAUCCUGCCUUGUCCAUGUCCGUGGCAUCUGACACCCACAAAUGGCAAGGGGAGAGCUCCUCUAGGUGCUUCUCUCCAGAUUUAGACGAGAUGCUGAAGAUCAGCUGGCUGUGGAAGUCUGCCCAACAGUGCUAUGCUGAGGAGGACUACAACAGCCACAAAAAUUCUGAGGAGGCAGAGAGCACUGUCUCACUGAGUGGCUCCUCUGAGGAUGACCUGUCCUACCUGGAGGAUAUCAUUCCCGACUCUAACUCGGACUCACAGCAGGCUGGUGUGGAGGUAGGGACCAAGAAGACCAACAGUACCAUCGGGAUCAGGUACACAUCCCUAAGUGCUGUAUUAUUCCUUGAAGACACAAACUGCAAACAGAUCCCAGAACUUCAAGAUGAUACCAAGGUUACCAACUGCAUCGGUGUAUCCAGUGACGUGAGUGAAACUGACCUACAGUUCAGUGAGAGAAUACGUGAUACUACAUACUCCGUGAUCUCUGCCCAGAGUAGGAACGCUAACUAUGAAGAUGACAAUGGCAUAACCCUAGAGGAGUCACCAUCUUUAUCUAGCAAGGACCAGUUCUGGGAGCUGCCCAAAGACCCCAUAAAGAAGCAAAGAAGGCAGAUUAGUCAGUUCUUUUACAGUUUAUUCUGUUGCCUCCCCACCCCGAAGAAAAGAGAGACAACCUCCAGGGCUGAAGAUCUUGCCUGGGUCUGUGAUUCUUAAGCCCUGGAUUUCCGUUCAGCCUGGUAUGGUCCACCAGCUACAGGAGGGAGCCAGGCCAGAACAGGAUAGAGCUUUGUACCACAAGACCUGUUGUUACCUGUCAGACACCUACAGCCUGGGCACGAGCUCUCUACCCUCCUCUCCCUGCAGUGUAGACUAUUGGCUGCCUACUUCUUAACUUACCGUGCCCCAGCACUGAGGCUGGACAGAGCAGUCGAUCACUUGUUAUGAAGAGACAGCUGUCCAGAUGCAGCAAACCUCGUGAGAGAAUUUUGUGUUUCCCAUGAUAGCUCAUCACCUAAUUUUGAUCCUUAUCAAUGACCAGAUGCAAUGAACUGCAUGUACUCGGUAGCCCAUGAGAUAUGUCUCUUCAAAAGUAAGCAUGUGGCUUGAAUCUGCAAAGACGACCGGGGAAACUACCCUCAGCUGCAUUUGUGGGACCGCCAUAGAACAUCAUCUCUCAGCUCCAUGGGGGAGCCUGCCCCACAAUGACCCGGUACUGUGGAUCCUGUGGAUUGGUUUCUUUCGUGAUGUUGUCACAUCAAGACUAUGAACCUGGAGCAGUGUUAUGCUCUCCGUAGUUGAAACAAGAUUCCUCAGGCCUCACAUGGAAAGUCCUUCAUUUUUAUUAAACGCUCACAUCAUUUUCUUUUAUACUGGCCUAUCUCUUCUCCUUGAAAGAAAACUAUGAUAUCCAGUCCCAGGUGAAUAAAAACAUUGUGGC
ensembl:lncRNA LOC100911936 uncharacterized LOC100911936